UCGGGAAUUUUGGGCAAUGGGCGAAAGCCUGACCCAGCAACGCCGCGUGAAGGAUGAAGUAUUUCGGUAUGUAAACUUCGUAAGAAUAGGAAGAAUAAAUGACGGUACUAUUUGUAAGGUCCGGCUAACUACGUGCCAGCAGCCGCGGUAAUACGUAGGGACCAAGCGUUGUUCGGAUUUACUGGGCGUAAAGGGCGCGUAGGCGGUUUGUCAAGUCAGUUGUGAAAUCUCCGAGCUUAACUCGGAACGGUCAACUGAUACUGUCAAACUAGAGUACAGAAGGGGCAAUCGGAAUUCUUGGUGUAGCGGUGAAAUGCGUAGAUAUCAAGAGGAACACCUGAGGCGAAGGCGGGUUGCUGGGCUGAUACUGACGCUGAAGCGCGAAAGCUAGGGUAGCAAACGGGAUUAGAUACCCUGGUAGUCCCUGAGCGGGCUGGCAAGGCGCAU
rnacentral:rRNA from 1 species